CAGCUCAGUACCGGCACGGCCUGGCCCUGUGUCAGGAGGCGGCUGAGGUCCGAGACGCGGCUUUCCCCGAGGCAGACCCCUUUCAGGUGGCUGCAGCCCUUUUCCAGACGAAGCUGAUGAGCUUCUACAGGCAGGUGGAGCGGCGGCAGGCUGAGCGGGAGCUGCUGCGGGAGCUCAGCCGGUUCUCCAGCAAGAUCACGGGGCUGAAGCUGGACUGCAGGCAGUGCUCAGCCCGGGUGAAGCGCGGGGAGGGCCAGGCGCUGCAGUGCCUGCAGAGCUCCUUCCAGAAGCUGUCGGUGGAGUUCGCCCUGGAGAAGCUGCAGGAGAUGAAGGCUCAGGUGCUGACCCACUGUGUCCCGCCACUGUGCUCCACCGGACUGCCUCAGCCUCCGGCACGCACGGUCCGCCUGCAGAGAAUCGGGCAGAAGUCACCCAGUACUUCCAGGUUUCCAGCCAGAGCAGUUUCUCUUCUGAAGACUCAGACUCGCAGAACUCCACUGAAGAAGCCCCAGCAGCGAGCCUGGCUGUGCCCCGGGACCUCCAGAAUCCCAGACCACCUUGCCCCUCUGAAAAGCCCUCCCAGAUUGUUUACCUGGAGAACCAUCACACCGAGAGUCCAGCUAAAGCAAAUGCCAAGUAAAACCAGUCCCUUCUAGUAGGGCCUGUUUCUGUCCAGUUGUGGAAGUCUCGGACACCAACUGGAUGUCCCAUGCUCAGAGGUGGGAUACUGGGACACAUUGUCCAACCCUCGGUCCUAGGAUCCUUCAGUUCCCCAUACUUAGCACUCACCCCGCUGUGGAACAGCAAUAACCCCAUCACCAGCCUCACGAGGUCUGUUAAUAAUCUACUAGGUGUGUUGCAAUCCUCACCUAAAGUGCAUUUAUCCCUACAAGUGCCAGGUUUGCCUCAGGACAGCGGUGAGGGUUCCCUGCAGUCAGCAGCCGUGCUCAGAGCAUCCCACAGGAGCACAAACCUGUGCCGAGGUGUUUCUGCCCACCGGCCCCGCCGCGCUCCCCUCCUCUGCCGGGCGGUUUUACCGUUCCCCAUGCUGCUGCUGCAGCCCUAGCCAAGCGACAAUGACAGGCAUUUUGUGUGCGCUCGUUAAUGUAGGACUAAUGUUAUUAAUGUUAAUAAACCUGAAGAGAAGCGCCCAGCUUGGUCCUCGUGGAGCAGAACGAAAAGCCGUGUCCUGCCCAGAGCCAGGCGCCGGGCUGCUCGCCCAGGCUCCCCGCCGCUGCCCCAGCCCAGUGCCAACGGGCAGCCGGUGCCACCGCGAGAGCCUCCCGUGCUGCCCGUGCGGGCUGUGGCCGCAGCCUGGCUCUCCUGCCCACCGCCAGCAUCUCGCUGCCGGUAGGAGGGUCCUGCUCAAACCGCUGCUGGCUCG
rnacentral:lncRNA from 1 species